rnacentral:rRNA from 1 species
UACGUAGGGGGCAAGCGUUGUCCGGAAUCAUUGGGCGUAAAGCGCGCGUAGGCGGCUCGGUAAGUCCGUUGUGAAAGUCAAAGGCUCAACCUUUGAAUGCCGAUGGAUACUGUCGAGCUAGAGUCCGGAAGAGGAGAGUGGAAUUCCCGGUGUAGCGGUGAAAUGCGCAGAUAUCGGGAAGAACACCCGUGGCGAAGGCGGCUCUCUGGGACGGUACUGACGCUGAGACGCGAAAGCGUGGGGAGCGAACAGG